rnacentral:rRNA from 1 species
AGAGUUUGAUCCUGGCUCAGAUUGAACGCUGGCGGCAGGCCUAACACAUGCAAGUCGAGCGGAUGAAAGGAGCUUGCUCCUGGAUUCAGCGGCGGACGGGUGAGUAAUGCCUAGGAAUCUGCCUGGUAGUGGGGGACAACGUUUCGAAAGGAACGCUAAUACCGCAUACGUCCUACGGGAGAAAGCAGGGGACCUUCGGGCCUUGCGCUAUCAGAUGAGCCUAGGUCGGAUUAGCUAGUUGGUGAGGUAAUGGCUCACCAAGGCGACGAUCCGUAACUGGUCUGAGAGGAUGAUCAGUCACACUGGAACUGAGACACGGUCCAGACUCCUACGGGAGGCAGCAGUGGGGAAUAUUGGACAAUGGGCGAAAGCCUGAUCCAGCCAUGCCGCGUGUGUGAAGAAGGUCUUCGGAUUGUAAAGCACUUUAAGUUGGGAGGAAGGGCAGUAAAUUAAUACUUUGCUGUUUUGACC